AAGAGACAGCAGCAGCCGCGGUAAUACGUAGGUGGCAAGCGUUGUCCGGAAUUAUUGGGCGUAAAGCGCGCGCAGGUGGUUUAAUAAGUCUGAUGUGAAAGCCCACGGCUCAACCGUGGAGGGUCAUUGGAAACUGUUAAACUUGAGUGCAGGAGAGAAAAGUGGAAUUCCUAGUGUAGCGGUGAAAUGCGUAGAGAUUAGGAGGAACACCAGUGGCGAAGGCGGCUUUUUGGCCUGUAACUGACACUGAGGCGCGAAAGCGUGGGGAGCAAACAGGAUUAGAUACCCGAGUAGUCCCUGUCUCUUAUAC
rnacentral:rRNA from 1 species